CACGUAGGUGGCGAGCGUUAUCCGGAUUUACUGGGCGUAAAGGGCACGCAGGCGGUCUUGAAAGUUUGGCGUGAAAUCUCCCGGCUUAACUGGGAGCGGUCGUUGAAAACUACAAGACUUGAGUCAAUGAGAGGGAUGCGGAAUUCCAGGUGUAGUGGUGGAAUGCGUAGAUAUCUGGAGGAACACCAGUGGCGAAAGCGGCAUCCUGGCAUUGUACUGACGCUCAUGUGCGAAAGCGUGGGUAGCGAACGGG
rnacentral:rRNA from 1 species